CCUGCAGCAGGGGAGGCUGCGAGGCGCCGCCGCCGCGCCGGCCCCCGGCAGGUGGGCGAGCCGCGCCGGGGCUGCCACGGGGUCUCCAGCAUGGUUGACACCGCUACAGCUUCCUGCAUGCGGCUCAGUGCAACACGUAAGCACUGCUGUCUGAGACCCCGAAGAUGGAUGGACUGUUCAGUCAGCACAAAUUCAUGCCAAG